AAUUCCCUUCCUCCCUGCUCUUUCUCCCUCGCUCUCGUGACCUCCAUGCAUCUGGAGAUGGAGACAACGACGCGGCUCUAACGAGUAUGUUUUUCAGGUGCUGUUGCAGUAGGAUAGGGUUCCGGCGAGCUCUCGGGUUCAUAUCUCGUCAUUGUUGCAAUGGUUCUAUCUAGACAUUGCAGUAGGUUUUAGUCGUUGUUGCAGUUUUGUGUUUUGAGAUGUUGUUUCAGUUGCUUCAGUGUGCAUGUUGUAGUAGUUUGUUUUAUGUUGUUACAACAUUUGUUCGGUGUUGUUGUAGUACUAUGUCCAUGGUGUUUUACUCGCUCCAUCCAAUGCUUUAAUCUGCACUGUUGUAUUAGUUGUUGCAUGUUGUUACAACAGUUGGUCGAUGUUGUUGUAAUACAUGUCUAUGGUGUUUCGGUUGCUCCAUCUAAUGCUUCAACCUAUGCUGUUGUAUUAGUUGUUA